AACGAACGCUGGCGGCAUGCCUAACACAUGCAAGUCGAACGAGACCUUCGGGUCUAGUGGCGCACGGGUGCGUAACGCGUGGGAACCUGCCCUUAGGUUCGGAAUAACUCCCCGAAAGGGGUGCUAAUACCGGAUAAUGUCUUCGGACCAAAGAUUUAUCGCCUUUGGAUGGGCCCGCGUUGGAUUAGCUAGUUGUUAGGGUAAAAGCCUACCAAGGCGACGAUCCAUAGCUGGUUUGAGAGGAUGAUCAGCCACACUGGGACUGAGACACGGCCCAGACUCCUACGGGAGGCAGCAGUGGGGAAUAUUGGAAAAUGGGCGAAAGCCUGAUCCAGCAAGGCCGCGUGAGUGAUGAAGGCCUUAGGGUUGUAAAGCUCUUUUACCCGGGAUGAUAAUGACAGUACCGGGAGAAUAAGCUCCGGCUAACUCCGUG
rnacentral:rRNA from 1 species